CCCUAGUAACGGCGAGUGAAGCGGCAACAGCUCAAAUUUGAAAUCUGGCUUCGGCCCGAGUUGUAAUUUGUAGAGGAAGAUUUAGGCGCGGCACCUUCUGAGUCCCCUGGAACGGGGCGCCAUAGAGGGUGAGAGCCCCGUAUAGUUGGAUGCCUAGCCUGUGUAAAUCUCCUUCGACGAGUCGAGUAGUUUGGGAAUGCUGCUCAAAAUGGGAGGUAAAUUUCUUCUAAAGCUAAAUAUUGGCCAGAGACCGAUAGCGCACAAGUAGAGUGAUCGAAAGAUGAAAAGCACUUUGAAAAGAGGGUUAAAUAGCACGUGAAAUUGUUGAAAGGGAAGCGCUUGUGACCAGACUUGCGCCGGGCGGAUCAUCCGGUGUUCUCACCGGUGCACUCCGCCCGGCUCAGGCCAGCAUCGGUUCUCGUGGGGGGAUAAAGGCCCUGGGAACGUAGCUCCUCCGGGAGUGUUAUAGCCCAGGGUGUAAUGCCCUCGCGGGGACCGAGGUUCGCGCAUCUGCAAGGAUGCUGGCGUAAUGGUCAUCAGCGACCCGUCUUGAAACACGGACCAAGGAGUCAAGGUUUUGCGCGAGUGUUUGGGUGUAAAACCCGCACGCGUAAUGAAAGUGAACGUAGGUGAGAGCUUCGGCGCAUCAUCGACCGAUCCUGAUGUAUUCGGAUGGAUUUGAGUAGGAGCGUUAAGCCUUGGACCCGAAAGAUGGUGAACUAUGCUUGGAUAGGGUGAAGCCAGAGGAAACUCUGGUGGAGGCUCGCAGCGGUUCUGACGUGCAAAUCGAUCGUCAAAUCUGAGCAU
rnacentral:rRNA from 1 species